rnacentral:rRNA from 1 species
UACGUAGGGUGCAAGCGUUGUUCGGAAUUACUGGGCGUAAAGAGUGUGUAGGCGGUGCUCCAAGUCUGGUGUGAAAUCUCCCGGCUUAACUGGGAGGGUGCAUUAGAAACUGGAAUGCUAGAGGAUGGGAGAGGUAAGCGGAAUUCCUGGUGUAGCGGUGAAAUGCGUAGAUAUCAGGAGGAACACCUGUGGUGUAGACAGCUUACUGGACCAUUUCUGACGCUGAGACACGAAAGCGUGGGUAGCAAACAGG